GAAAUGCGAUAAGUAAUGUGAAUUGCAGAAUUCAGUGAAUCAUCGAAUCUUUGAACGCACCUUGCGCUCCUUGGUAUUCCUUGGAGCAUGCCUGUUUUAGUAUCAUGAAAUCUUCAAAGUAAAUCUUUUGUUAACUCAAUUGGUUUCUACUUUGGUAUUGGAGGUCUUUGCAGCUUCACACCUGCUCCUCUUUGUUCAUUAGCUGGAUCUCAGUGUUAUGCUUGGUUCCACUCGGCGUGAUAAGUUAUCUAUCGCUGAGGACACUGUAAAAGGUGGCCAAGGUAAAUGCAGAUGAACCGCUUCUAAUAGUCCAUUGACUUGGACAAUACUUUUAUGAUCUGAUCUCAAAUCAGGUAGGACUACCCGCUGAACUUAAGC
rnacentral:misc_RNA from 1 species